rnacentral:rRNA from 1 species
UACAGAGGUGGCAAGCGUUGUUCGGAAUUACUGGGCGUAAAGGGCGCGUAGGCGGCCAUCUAAGUCAGACGUGAAGUCCCCCGGCUUAACCUGGGAACUGCGUCUGAUACUGGAAGGCUUGAGUAUGGGAGAGGGAUGUAGAAUUCCAGGUGUAGCGGUGAAAUGCGUAGAUAUCUGGAGGAAUACCGGUGGCGAAGGCGGCAUCCUGGACCAUUACUGACGCUGAGGCGCGAAAGCUAGGGGAGCAAACGGG